UCGACGGGGUAGCAAUACCCAGUGGCGGACGGGUGAGGAAUACAUAGGAAUUUGCCCUUAAGUGGGGGAUAGCCCGGGGAAACCCGGAUUAAUACCGCAUGAUCUCGUGAGAGCAAAGCAGGGGACCGCAAGGCCUUGCGCUUUUGGAGAAGCCUAUGUCGGAUUAGCUUGUUGGUGAGGUAAUGGCUCACCAAGGCCGCGAUCCGUAACUGGUCUGAGAGGAUGAUCAGUCACACCGGAACUGAGACACGGUCCGGACUCCUACGGGAGGCAGCAGUGGGGAAUAUUGGACAAUGGGCGAAAGCCUGAUCCAGCAAUGCCGCGUGUGUGAAGAAGGCCUUCGGGUUGUAAAGCACUUUAGGCUGGAAAGAAAAAACUUGGGCGAAUACCUCAAGUCUUGACGGUACCAGCAGAAUAAGCACCGGCUAACUCUGUGCCAGCAGCCGCGGUAAUACAGAGGGUGCGAGCGUUAAUCGGAUUUACUGGGCGUAAAGCGUGCGUAGGUGGUGGUGUAAGUCGGAUGUGAAAGCCCUGGGCUUAACCUGGGAACUGCAUUCGAUACUGCGCUACUAGAGUUCGGUAGAGGGCGGCGGAAUUCCGGGUGUAGCGGUGAAAUGCGUAGAUAUCCGGAGGAACACCGAUGGCGAAGGCAACCGCCUGGGCCUGAACUGACACUGAGGCACGAAAGCGUGGGGAGCAAACAGGAUUAGAUACCCUGGUAGUCCACGCCGUAAACGAUGAGAACUUGACGUCUGCUUGCUAUGCGAGUAGGUGUCGAAGCUAACGCGCUAAGUUCUCCGCCUGGGGAGUACGGGCCGCAAGGUUGAAACUCAAAGGAAUUGACGGGGGCCCGCACAGCGGUGGAGUUUGUGGUUUAAUUCGAUGCAACGCGAAGAACCUUACCUG
rnacentral:rRNA from 1 species